rnacentral:rRNA from 1 species
AGUGAACGCUGGCGGUAGGCCUAACACAUGCAAGUCGAACGGCAGCACAGUAAGAGCUUGCUCUUACGGGUGGCGAGUGGCGGACGGGUGAGGAAUACAUCGGAAUCUACUUUUUCGUGGGGGAUAACGUAGGGAAACUUACGCUAAUACCGCAUACGACCUACGGGUGAAAGCAGGGGAUCUUCGGACCUUGCGCGAUUGAAUGAGCCGAUGUCGGAUUAGCUAGUUGGCGGGGUAAAGGCCCACCAAGGCGACGAUCCGUAGCUGGUCUGAGAGGAUGAUCAGCCACACGGGAACGGAGACACGGUCCAGACUCCUACGGGAGGCAGCAGUGGGGAAUAUUGGACAAUGGGCGCAAGCCUGAUCCAGCCAUACCGCGUGGGUGAAGAAGGCCUUCGGGUUGUAAAGCCCUUUUGUUGGGAAAGAAAAGCAGCAGGUUAAUACCCCGCUGUUCUGACGGUACCCAAAGAAUAAGCACCGGCUAACUUCGUG